GGUAAAUCAUUUUUUAUUGUCUUAGUAGAGGAGAUAGAAUUAGACGUUUAAGCGGCGAUAGAUAAUAGAUAGUAGCGUGAGUGAAGGUUAAAUAAAUUAAACAGUGAAGUAUCGGUGGUGAGCACUCGCACCUUUUGCAUCAUGGCUUAUACUACUUUUUAUGCUGAGGAAGUAUCCCGAAAGUUUUGUGAUCUACUUUCUUACUUUACAGGUUGGCGUUAUAUUUGCUAUCUGGAGAUGGGGAGAUAGUGGCGAAAUACUUUUCGCACUGGUUGAUAGCUGGUUAUUCCGGAAAUAUAUUUAAGUAUAGUCUUCGGUUGAUGGGGUUUACAGUUUGAUAAUUCUAAUAGUAUUUGGGCUGUUUUUCGAAGGGGUCAGCCCCCUCAGGCUAAGCUGAGGGGGCUAUUUUAAAGGAUGGUUAAUUAAGAAUGGAAAGGCUAAGAAGUGGGCUUGAAGGAGUUAUCUUUAUGGAGUGGGUUAAACCACAAAUGAGCCUUGUAUAAUAAAUUAAAUUUUAUCUAUCUUUGUGUUGUACGGAAUCUCUUUUUGAAACAAUAAUUAUAGAGGUGAUAAUGUAAAGAUGAGUAGUCGAGAAGUUGUAAGUGUUUUAAGGUCGGGGAAAGAAACGUAAGGUUAUGUUCCGUAUUUUUAAAAAAAGCUAAAGGAACUCGGCAAAUAAGGGGACCGCCUGUUUAUCAAAAACAUGGCUCCCUGAGCAAUAUGGGGGGUCGUGCCUUCCCGGUGAGCUUGCGGGCUUAAACGGACGCGGUAAAGCGUGCUAAGGUAGCUAAAUUAUGGCCUAUUAAUUGUAGGUCCUGUGAAUGGUUUGACGAGUUUCCAACUGUCUCUAGUUUUUUUUGGUGAACUUGAAUUGGAUGUGCAAAUGCUUCCAUGGGUAAGAAAGACGAGAAGACCCCGUGAAGUUAGAAAUUUAAGUUAUUGGGAAGUUCCAAGGCUAUUUGUGGCCGAAUCGUUGAGGAGCACUAGAACUUAGUGUUUCAGAAGGGGUGAAUAAUAGCAGUUUUGGCUGGGGCAGCAAAGGAGCAAAGCUAGACUCCUUUAGGGUGUAAAACAGAUGUGUUACGACCCACAAACAUUAAGGUGUGAUUAUCAGAAGAAGUUACUCCGGGGAUAACAGCGUAAUCUGUCUUGAUAGUUCUUAUAGAUGGGCGGGUUUGCGACCUCGAUGUUGGCUCUGGAUAUCCUAAGGCUUGUAGGCGGUCUUGAGGGUUGGUUCGUUCGCCCAUAAAAAUCUGACGUGAGCUGAGUUCAGAUCGGUGAAAGCUAGGUCGGUUUCUAUCUUCUUUCUUUUAAAAUUGGGCUUUAGGGUACGAAAGGACAUUUAGUUCCAGGUGAUGGCCUGUAGUGUGUGAUUUUAGAAUAAUUUUAAUAUAAAAAAGUUUAUCUAUAA
rnacentral:rRNA from 1 species